rnacentral:rRNA from 1 species
UACGUAGGGUGCGAGCGUUGUCCGGAAUUACUGGGCGUAAAGAGCUCGUAGGCGGCUUGUCACGUCGGGUGUGAAAGACCGGGGCUUAACUCCGGUUCUGCAUUCGAUACGGGCUAGCUAGAGUGUGGUAGGGGAGAUCGGAAUUCCUGGUGUAGCGGUGAAAUGCGCAGAUAUCAGGAGGAACACCGGUGGCGAAGGCGGAUCUCUGGGCCAUUACUGACGCUGAGGAGCGAAAGCGUGGGGAGCGAACGGG